CUAAGCAUAGGUGAUUUGAUGAUGUUGAAAUGGUGCUGGAAUAGUGGAAGCAGCUCCAGUUUUCUUUGCGACUUGAGGUAAUAUCAGCAUCUGCAAUGAUGACCUGACAUUCAGGAACAUGGACAUGAGCAAGAUCCUAGAAUCAUCCUGUAGCGACAAGGAAGACACGGAAGGAUAGGAGAGUGAAGAGAAGGAAGUGCUAAGGGUGGUCACACCAUAGUGGAUUCCUACCUACUCGAAUACCCCAACAACAUCCUGUCGUUCCCGCGCCAGACCUAUCUCAGCUCACACUCUCCUCCCAUGACACCUCUCAGGCGCCACGAGUUCCAUUCCAAGCACUGGCCAUGGUGGAGCCAGACAGAGUACCCUCCAACAUCACAAGACCUCCACCCAUCAUCACAAAAGGACUGCAUAAGAACCGCAUAAUUGAUUCGGAGUCUGAGGAAGAGAUACCUGCAGCCACUGGUCCAGCUUGCUACUUUGGAGACUGUGAGGCUGUCUAAUGAAGCAAUUGAAAAGUUCACUAAGAUGGAGGUGACCCUGGAAACAGACAGAUGGAAAGCUGAGACCCUUCAUUGUGGCAUCGGAGAUCCUGGUUUGGUGAAUGGACCAGGAGGUAUCCCGUCCACCAGAACCAGUGAGAUCAGAUCAGGUUGAGUAUCUGUGCUCUAAGUCGAAGGGGGACCAGUUUGAGGACCUAGGGGUUCUGCCCAACACCCAGACGUGGAUCCACCUGAUGUCCUCCAUUACCAACCACCCUCCAACUUUUCACUACAUCAUCUACAGCUACUGUUGUCAUUAUCUGCUAAGAAAGUUAUUGCUCUAUCAUACUGGGCACAUAUCAUACUGGGCACACAUCAUCUACAGCUACUGUUGUCAUUAUCUGCUAAGAAAGUUCUUGCUCUAUCAUACUGGGCACAUAAAUAUGUGAGAUAAACAGAUUAACUAAAAACACUAGCACUGCAAACACUCAGAGCAAAGAGAGCAGCAGUGCCUGGACUUUGCAGUCUCCUUCUUCAAGUCCCCCUUCUGAGACUGACGGCCUGUUGAGAACAAGUGACAGGCAGAACCUCUCACAGACACAGCAACCACCUCCUCUAUAUCACACACAGCAGAAUUCAGUAUUUUAGUCUAUGAUUGCCAUGUGAAUGUACAAAAAAAUCUGAAAAUAAAUGAAUGACGAACUUU